UGAGUUGGUUAGGCAAUCGCUGGUUUAUUGAAGCCUCUAAAUUCGUGAAAACGUAAACUGGGGGACAAGUAAACGAGAGGAAAGUCCGAGCUACACAGGGCAGAGUGCCGGAUAACGUCCGGGGGGCGUGAGCCUACGACCAGUGCAACAGAGAGCAGACCGCCGGCUUUGUCGGUAAGGGUGAAAGGGUGCGGUAAGAGCGCACCGUGUGGGUGGUAACAUUCCACAGCAGGGUAAACUCCACUCGUAGCAAGACCAAAUAGGAACUCAAUCGGUGGCCCGCUGAGAGUUCGGGUAGGUUGCUUGAGCGUAUGUGUAAAUGUACGUCUAGAGGAAUGAUUGUCCACGACAGAACUCGGCUUAUCGACCAACUCACUAA
rfam:Mannheimia haemolytica M42548, complete genome.